UGGAGCAUGUGGUUUAAUUCGAUGCAACGCGAAGAACCUUACCUGGUCUUGACAUCCACGGAAGUUUUCAGAGAUGAGAAUGUGCCUUCGGGAACCGUGAGACAGGUGCUGCAUGGCUGUCGUCAGCUCGUGUUGUGAAAUGUUGGGUUAAGUCCCGCAACGAGCGCAACCCUUAUCCUUUGUUGCCAGCGGUCCGGCCGGGAACUCAAAGGAGACUGCCAGUGAUAAACUGGAGGAAGGUGGGGAUGACGUCAAGUCAUCAUGGCCCUUACGACCAGGGCUACACACGUGCUACAAUGGCGCAUACAAAGAGAAGCGACCUCGCGAGAGCAAGCGGACCUCAUAAAGUGCGUCGUAGUCCGGAUUGGAGUCUGCAACUCGACUCCAUGAAGUCGGAAUCGCUAGUAAUCGUGGAUCAGAAUGCCACGGUGAAUACGUUCCCGGGCCUUGUACACACCGCCCGUCACACCAUGGGAGUGGGUUGCAAAAGAAGUAGGUAGCUUAACCUUCGGGAGGGCGCUUACCACUUUGUGAUUCAUGACUGGGGUGAAGUCGUAACAAGGUAACCGUAGGGGAACCUGCGGUUGGAUCAC
rnacentral:rRNA from 1 species